rnacentral:rRNA from 1 species
AAUAUUGCACAAUGGGCGAAAGCCUGAUGCAGCGACGCCGCGUGAGGGAUGACGGCCUUCGGGUUGUAAACCUCUUUCGACAGGGACGAAGCGCAAGUGACGGUACCUGUAGAAGAAGCACCGGCCAACUACGUGCCAGCAGCCGCGGUAAUACGUAGGGUGCGAGCGUUGUCCGGAAUUACUGGGCGUAAAGAGCUUGUAGGCGGUUCGUCGCGUCGUUCGUGAAAACUUGGGGCUCAACCCCAAGCUUGCGGGCGAUACGGGCGGACUAGAGUACUUCAGGGGAGACUGGAAUUCCUGGUGUAGCGGUGAAAUGCGCAGAUAUCAGGAGGAACACCGGUGGCGAAGGCGGGUCUCUGGGAAGUAACUGACGCUGAGAAGCGAAAGCGUGGGUAGCGAACAGGAUUAGAUACCCUGGUAGUCCACGCCGUAAACGGUGGGUACUAGGUGUGGGUUUCCUUCCACGGGAUCCGUGCCGUAGCUAACGCAUUAAGUACCCCGCCUGGGGAGUACGGCCGCAAGGCUA